rnacentral:lncRNA from 1 species
AUGACUCAGGUACUUAUUUCUACAAAGGGACCUUACCUGUCUGAAAGAGAAAGAUGGAGUUGCUAUGGUCCCAGGUACGGGCACCUGUUUGCUUUUAAAGUGGCGCGGUUUCUCUUGCCUGUUUUUCUUUGUAAGCAGCGAAGACUCUUCAGAUCAAAGACUUUUCAAAGAUGCAACUCCAAAACUUCAAAGACGCAACUGUCUCACACCAAAAAGCAGUGGAAUCCGAGUGGCUCAUUAUUCAAGGACAAGGGGUCAAAUGCAUGCAGGCAGUGAACAAACAAUUCUGGCCUGAACUCAACUGUUUGUGAGUCAGUAUAUUUUCUUUUGUUAAGAGCUGGUCUUCUUGGAAACCAAUUCAGUCUUUUUACCCCGAAACCGUUUACAAGGGUAGGUCCAACUCUUAGCACGAAAGCCAGCCAAGACUGCAUGUACGCAAGACCUGCUCAUUGACGGUACUGAACAACGUGAAACACUGAUUUUUCUUUCUUUUUUUUUUUUUUUUUUAUGAUAGUCACACAGAGAGAGAGAGAGAGAGAGGCAGAGACACAGGCAGAGGGAGAAGCAGGCUCCAUGCACCGGGACCCCGACGUGGGAUUCGAUCCCGGGUCUCCAGGAUCGCGCCCUGGGCCAAAGGCAGGCGCCAAACCGCUGCGCCACCCAGGGAUCCCGAAACACUGAUUUUUCUAUUUGGAUAAAGUUCCUGGAAUGAAGAAGUCUCAUUCACCCUAGCUUCUUUUAAGAACAGGGAUGGAUUUUGCAUCCCAAUUUAAAUCAGGAACUAGUUCUGUCGGAGGUUUAAAAACACUUUUGAAGAAUACAGGUGGAAUUACGCACACGGCCUCAACAAAAAUAUGGACUCUGGGUCUCCUGAAUCAAAGAACGGAGGAGACAGAUGUUAUAAUGAGAGAUCUUACUCAGAAAACCAUAAGAGAUCAAACUCCACUGUCAAAGAGUGAAUUUUAAAUAGUUAACUUUUAUUUUGGAGGCGGUGGGGGUGUCGGAG